UUAAGGAAACCAAGUACUUGUGUCCUAAGUAUAGAAGCUUAAGAGGUUUGUUCUUAGAGCUAAGAUUAGGAAACCCUAUACUUGUAGGAAAG